rnacentral:lncRNA from 1 species
GGAGAUCUCUGAGUUUGAGGCCAGCCUGGUCUGCAGAGUAAGAUCCAAGACAGCCAGGGGGUACCAUAGAAACCCUGUCUCUUGAGGCCCCAGGGAAGGGGGAUUCUGGCGGGGUGGGGAACAGAGGGAGAACACCCUCUCAGAGGCAAGGGGAAGGGGGAAAGGGAUGAGGAACUGUGAAAGGGGGGACUGGGAGGGUGGCUACAACUGGAAGGUACAUAAAUAAAACAAUUUUUUAAAAAAGAAACCCUGAGUAAUAGUGUCAGGCCUUGGGACCUCUCCUUGAGCUGGAUUCCACUUUGGGCCUGUCACUGGACCUUCUUUUCCUCAGGCUCCUCUUCAUUUUCAUCCCUGUAAUUCUUUCAGACAGGAACAAUUAUGGAUGAGAGAUGUGACUGUGGGAUGGCAACCCCAUCCCUCCCUUGAUGUCCUCUCUUCCUACUGGAGGUGGACUCUGUAAGUUCCCUCUCCCUACUGUCAGGCAUUUCAUCUAAGAUCCUUCUCUUUGAGUCCUGAGAGUCUCUCACCUCCCAGGUCUCUGGUGCAUUCUGGAGGGUCCCCCAAUCUCCUAUUUCCCUAGGUUGUCUGUUUCCAUUCUUUCUGCUGGCCCUCAGGGCUUCAGUCCUUUUCCCUCACCCAAUACCAGAUCAGGUUCUCAUCUCUCUCCUACUUCCCUCCCAGGUCCCUCCCUCCCUCCCCACUUGUGAUUGCUUUCUUCUCUCUCCUAAGUGGGACUAGGGCAUCCUCACUUGGGCACUUCAGUUUUUUGAGUUCGGUGGAUUGUAUCUUGGGUAUUCUGUACUUUUUUUUUUUGGCUAAUAUCCACUUAGUGAGUACAUGUCAUGCACAUCUUUUUCAGUCUAAGUUACCUCACUCAGGAUGAUAUUUUCUAGUUCCAUCCAUUUGCCUGCAAAACUCAGGAUGUCCUCGUUCAUAAUUGCAGAGUAGUAUUCCAUUGUGUAAAUGAACCACUUUUUCUGUAUCCAUUCUUCUGUCCUGGCACGUCUAGGUUACUUACAGCUUCUGGCUAUCACAAAUAAGGCCUCUAUGAAUGUAGUUGGAGCACUCACAAAAAGGGACCUAUCAUGACUGCCCUCCAAAAGACCCAACAAGCAGCCAAAAGAGUCAGAUGAAGAUAUUUGUACCCAACCAAUGGACAGCAGCAGCUGAUCCCUGUUGUUGAAUUAGGGAAGGCUGAUAGAAGCUGAGGAGAAGGGUGAUCUUGUAGGAGAACCAGCAAUCUCAAUUAAUCGACCCCCGAGAUCUCUCAAACACUGAACCACCAAACAGACAGCAUACAUCAGCUGAUAUGAGGCCCCCAGGACACAUACAGUAGAGGACAUCCGGGUCUGUGUUCAUUCAGAGAUGAUACACCUAACCCUCAAGAGACUGGAGGCCCCAGGGAAUUUAGAGGUCAGGUGGGGAGGGGAGUGGGUUCAUCAUGUGGAGACAGGGGUGGGGAGGAGAUAUGGGAUGUGGAACAGUCGAAGGUUGGAUGGGGUGGAAUAAAAUAUGGAGUGUAAAAAUUAAAAAAUAAAAGAAAUAAAUAAAAAACUCCUGUCUUGAAAAAAACAAAAUAAUAAUAAUAACAACAAUAACAAUAAUAAAAACUUUCUUGGGGGUUGUUUCUUUGAGUCAGAGUUUUGCUUUAAAGCUCAUGCUGCUCUUGAAUCUAUAAUUCUCCUGCCUUAGCUUUUAAGGAGUAUUAAAGUUACAGAUGUGCCACUAAAGCUGGCUUUGAAACAAAACCUAAAAAAAUAAAAGAAAAACAUCUUUUGUUUUUUCAAGAUAGGGUUUCUCUGUAUAGCCCUGGCUGUCCUGGAACUGACUUGGUAGACCAGUCUGGCCUCAAAGUCAGAGAUCCACCUGCCUCUACCUUCCAAGGGCUGGGAUUUAAGGUGUGUAUCACCAUGCCUAAUUACAAAAAAAUAUUUUUUUAAAUAUAAAGGGUUUUUGUAAAGUAAGCUGUUCCUUAGCCAGUUUCUUUCUGAGGCAGCAGUCCUGCAGCUCCCAGUGAAUCCUUUCAGAGUGGUGUCUGGCAUGAUAACAUGUACCUGUAAUAAUCAGCACUCUGAGAGGAAAAAGGAUUAUUUCCAGUCUGAGAUUAGCUUUCACUACAUAAAUAAUACUAUGUCUC